rnacentral:rRNA from 1 species
AUUGAACGCUGGCGGCAGGCCUAACACAUGCAAGUCGAACGAGUGGCGGACGGGUGAGUAAUGUCUGGGAAACUGCCCGAUGGAGGGGGAUAACUACUGGAAACGGUAGCUAAUACCGCAUACCAUCGGAUGUUCCCACAUGGGAUUAGCUAGUAGGUGGGGUAACGGCUCACCUAGGCGACGAUCCCUAGCCGGUCUGAGAGGUUGACCAGCAACACUGGAACUGAGACACGGUCCAGACUCCGACGGGAGGCAGGAGUGGGGAAUAUUGCACAAUGGGCGCAAGCCUGAUGCAGCCAUGCCGCGUGUAUGAAGAAGGCCUUCGGGUUGUAAAGUACUUUCAGCGAGGAGGCGUUACUCGCAGAAGAAGCACCGGCUAACUCCGUGCCAGCAGCCGCGGUAAUAC